UGCCUGUCUGUCUGCCUGUCUGUCUGUCUGUGUGUGUCUGUCUGUCUGUCUGUCUGUCUGUCUGUCUGUCUGUGUGUCUGUCUGCCUGUCUGUCUGCCUGUCUGUCUGUCUAACUCCAUCACCAAACAUUGGUUGAGUUUAAUGAUGCGUCUGCUGAUCAAACUGAUCAGUGACACUGGAUCUGGUCCUAACAGGACAAAGAACUUUGAAUCACAUACGUCUGAGAUUCAGUGUCUCAUCAAACCACGUGACAGAACCCGUGAACAGCCACGUUACUCCAGUAUUUCAUUUUAUUUUGUAAUUAAUUGGCAAAUUAGAUCCUCAGAAAAGAAUCUGAAGGUUUUUCUGAAACUGGUCUGAGUGCAGCUCGUGUCAGCUGAUCCUGAAACAGAAACACUGAUCCAGCUGUGAAGGACAAACACCAGCAGGACGUCGGCCUGGUCCUUCCUCUGAGGGACGGAGGAAAUCUGCAGGAAAGAACGGAGCGGUGAGUGAAACACUACAUGGAGAAAGCACAACAUCAACUUUGUGUUGUUUCUUUACACGUUUUCUUCGCUCUGAAGAAAAUACAAAACGGUUUAGAAAGAGACGGGAAUAUUUGAGUUUGAGUCUGAGAUUCCUCCACGCUGAGCUUUCACCAGACAUUUGUCACGAUCAUUAACGAUAAUUCAGGUUUGGUUUCAGUUUUCACAGAAAAGCAACGUAAGUCAGAGAAGGUGAAACCUCUGAAACUACCGACUGAAUCCUUGUCUGAAAACUUGUCUCUUUGGAAACACGAACAUGGUUUUACUCUCUGGUUCCGAGGCCAGCUCCCAGCUUGUUUAUUUAUUUUUUUUAUUUAAGAUUGAUUGUGCAGCUCUAACUGCUGCCUUCCUAAAUUUCCAUUUGUUUUCAGAGCUUUUAAAAACGUUUUAUGAGUUAGCGAUUUUCACGAACAUGAUUAAACAGGAAACGGAAACGUGAACAGUGUCUGGUGAAAAAGAACCGAUGGAAAUUCAUCGCGUCGUCAGUUUAUUUCAUCUUGUUUUUCCUGUGGUUCCAGUUUCACAGUCUGAGCUGAACUUCACAGCAUUUCGUGUCAUUUGUCUUGGUUUUCUGUGAAGAUGUCACCGCGCAACACGUUAACGAUGCUAACAGAAACAAAGCCACAGUGUUGAAUUACGAAGGGACGCUUACCUGGAUGCAGUGUGACCGUGCACACGCAUUCAGAGUAACUCUGGGUUUUUCCUGUGAAACUCAGUCAUUACUUGAAUUGUUUUCUGUCCAGUUUGAGCCAAAAUGGCAGCCGAGCUGCGGCGAAACGAUUGGUUGGUAAAAGAUUUAUGCAACAACCUCAUUGUCUGUGUUCCACGGCCUGCACGUCUGUGUAGAGCUGGACUGAAUCCGUGUGUUACAGUUAUAUGUCUGUUAAUAAUAUGUUUGCAUAUUUAAUGAACGCUCGACUCGACGGGCUCUGUGGCUCCGUGGCUCCGUGUUUCACAGAAAACAGUUUUUUUCUGAGGAGAUCGGAAAAGUUUGAAUGUUUGUUUUUUUAUCCACUAAAACUAAUGUUUAUCUCCAAACAGACGUGUUGUCAGUGUUGACGAGCAAAGGCUUCUUGUCUGUAUUUUAACAUUUAAACACAUAAUGUUGUGACUGAUGCUGUAACACUCUGCAGUGGCUUUAUUCCAGAGGGUCAUUCCUGUGUUUUAACACGGUGCUUGUACAUAAAAAUGCUGCAUUAUUGUCAGUGAGUUAGUUUUUCUUGUGUACUUGGAAAAUCACUUGUUCAAUUCAAACAGUUUUAGAGGAUUUAAGUUGAUGUGAGUAGAUUAGCUAACCAGUGUGAAUGGCAGCAGUGUUGGCCAGUGCUACCUGAGCUUACUGAUUAGCUCACACAGUUUGUUCAGGCCUGUAGCUGUGAACACAGCUGCUGCUACAAAGGUGAAGGCCAGAGGCUAGUUAGCAAGCUAGCAGGCUGUUAGCUAGUUGAUGAGUGAAGAAGGAACACAAAAACUUAGCUAAUCACAGGUAAGUUAGCUAGCUAGUGACAGAACUGGACAAACUAGAACAGGCAGGUUAGCUUGCUAAUGGCUAAAUAAGUUAGCGCGUCCUUAGCUGCAUCAGGAAAACUCAGAGAUCAGAAGCAGUUUUUUUGUUUGCAGCCUUCUGGUCAUUAACUUUCAUUCAUUCAUCAGCGAAACACGAAACUGUAAAAACGCUGUAAAAACCUUUCACUGGAAUAAAGCCAAUGUUUGUGUUACUGUCACAUAAUUAACAUCUGUACAGUUGUUACAGGUUUUUAAUGUUUUGACCACUAAUGCAGCAGAAGCAGCGUCAUGUUACCUUCAGCUAACGGUUAGCCUGCUACUUUAUACGCCACCACGCUUGACAAAGAUGCAGCUGUGACUGAAGUUUACCACAUAAGCAACUUAAAUAGCAAAUACUCGUUCUUUCUGUUCAUGUGUGAAAAUGUACAUGUGUAAAUGAAGUGAGUUAGUUUUCCUGAGAAAAACAGAACAGAUGCCUUGAGACAUACAGGAAGUACAACUCUUAUCAAUGCAACAGGAGGGACAGACAGUUUGGGUCUCACCUGAGAAGUGCUUUUCUAUCAGACAUUUGACCACUUGAGGGACGAGUUUCAACACUUCGAUGUCCUCUCCUUCAUCAUCAUGACAGAAAAAGUUUUUUUUUGUUUCCCAGUUCACAAUUUGAUAACAGAAAUACUAAUGACAGCAAAACGUAAAGCAGAAAGGGUCAGAAAUAAUCCACUACACUGUUUUUCCUUGUUCUUUCCAACUGUUAACUAUCAAAUAAAGGAAAAAAUGCCUUUUACGAUUAACUUAGAAUAAAAGCUGCUAAAACGAUUGUUUUUCUGAGUGAAGUCUGGUGAGUCCAGAGAGGACAGCCCUGCACGCAGAUGAAACUCGUCCCUGCUGUUAAAAACCUUUCAUUGCCUUCUUUCUUCCUUCCAUCAGCUCUGAACAUUCAAGAAUUUCGAUGUGAAAAACUCUAAGUGCAUUUAUCUGAAUGAAGAUCUGUCAUUUGUAAAGAAUCCUAGUUUUUCAUUUUGGUUGGUACUAAACGUUUAACAUUAAAACUUAUCUGGUUUGAUUUCAUGGAGACAUCUGCUGAGUUUCUGUUGUAACAAAGCAGCAGAACAACACUUUACUUUUCACUGUGUGAAGAAGAAUAACCAACGAAACAGGAAGGAAAUCGUCUCAUCACGAGGCCGAGAGGAAAACAUGGCUGCAGGAAAUCUGAAAAAUCACACAGGUAUUUCAUGGCUUCCUCUCUUUGAAUUUUGUUUUCAAAGGGUUGAAAGUACAAAGAUUCUGGUUUUGGUUUGGUUUAAAAAAACCACAUGUGAGAUUCAGAGUCUUCUAAUUAAUAUCUGUUGUUUUAAUUAGAAAAUACAGAAGUCAGUGUUGUUUGCUGGUGAGAUGAAACUCUGUAAUUCUGACGUCUCUUCUCAUACAAGACAAAGACGUCGUGAAUCUGAUGAAAGUAUGAAUUUGAAAUUGUUAAAUGCAGUUUACAGGUAACGUCUGACUUCUUUGUCUUCAGUGUUUGUGUGUUUCACAGCUUCUUACAUCAACACUGCGACUCCACAGUCUCUGUUUUCACAUUUUAACUCGUCCGGCUCUGAUUCCUGAGAAAAACAUCUGAUGAAGUCUGAGCUUGACAUUUCUCAGCUCCUCUUCUUCUUCCUCCUCAUCCUCCUAUUUUUUCCAAGUGUAUUUGGCAGGUGUGUUUCCGCUCAGGUGGCAGGAACGAAGGAUUCCAAGUGUGACAUUUUUCUCGUCCUGGGGAAACGAUCACGAGCGACAGAAACAAAUGAGCUGAGUUUUGUUCAGUGAAGUGUGAACAGAUCAGUGGACAAAGAGCUGAAUCCUGCUCAGAGAACACAUCACCUGUUUAAAUUCAAUGUGAUUUUAAAUCAGGGAUCUGAAUCUUCCAGGAGUUUUUGAUCGACUCCAGAGGAGAAAUCCUCAGAGCCAGGACUGAACCUGUGGAUCAGCAGCAGAAGGAGAAGUUCCAGCAGAACCAGAGCAACUGCAGGGAUUUUAUCUUUUAUCUCCUUCACUUUGUUUCCACGACAGAUUUAAAAUCUACAGCAGCUUCAAACAGAGGAAACAGAGACUUUAGGUCUUAUUCUCACUCAUUUUAAGGCAAUAAGUCAUUAAUACAAAAAGACUCUGAGACAAUGAGUCAGCAGUUUGACUCAUAUCAGGAUUAAAAGAGAUUUGAUUAGUUUUAAAAACAAUCAUAAAUAUGACAUGAAACAUGUGACUUCAAAGUUUUAGAUCAUAAAGACUAAUAAUUCAAAAGUCUUCAAUCAAAACACAGACACAAGAUAAUAAAUCAAAGUUAUGAGCUGCAAAGUCAUCAAGUGGCUGAUUUGUGAGAUAUUUGACUUAAGUCCAAAUUAUCGAACGUUAAAUUAUAAAUAAGAUUAUUAAUCAUUAAUCCAAAUUAACGUUUAUAAACAUACAGAUAUACACUGUUUAAAAAGAGGACGUUUAUUAGACUUAUUUUCUCCAUUCAUUAAAACCCUGCUGGGAAACAAAAAUCGGUGGAAAUCUGGUGGGAGUUUGGUACUGACGUUACCUCCUGCACACGCUGGUCUCUGCUGACGUCCUGGUUCAAACUUCAGUUUCAUCUGCAGUGAAGCUGAUUAUUGUAAAAGGAUCGGUUUCACCAGAGGACGCCUCGUCACCACAACAGGAACGUUGUAACGUCGUGCAGCAGCGUGAGAGUGCGGCUUUGGACCGUGGACCGGCCGGAGAGCAGAGGGUCGCCGGUUUGAUUCCUCGACCAAGCACAAUGGAUAUGGGUGGUGGUGAAGGAGACCCCCCUAAGAUCAUUAUUACUGGAGGAGAUGUAGACUCACUCCAGCCAACACCUGCAGUAACAUGAGCUCCUGUGGUGAAACUGGUCCCAUCAGUCAUUCAGCUCAGUAAAACAGAUCUUCCUCCAGUCCUCCUCCCUCUUUAGGAAGUGAAACGCUGUGACUAACGGCCUCAUUAACAGGUUAAUCAAUCAUUUAUUAAAGCUGUACUGAUCAGUUAGAAACCAUCAAUAAGAAAAACCUUUGGGUCGUCAGGUUAGUUCAUCAGAUCAUCAGCAGAAGCAUCUGGAUCAAAUCUGAGACCCGACAGACCCACGGACCCGAUGGACCCACGGACCUGAUGGACCCACGGACCCGAUGGAUCUUUGUCCCUUUGUCCCACUUCUUCUGAUGGGCUGAAUUAUUUUAUCAUUCUCUGAGUCUGUGAAGGUCAAACACGUUUUCACUGUUUUUCUUUAAACAGAAGUUUCAGAUUUUUCAGAUAAAUCAGUUCAGCUCUGCACAGCCUACAGAUUUAUCUCAUUAAUGGUUGGUAACUGUUCACUUAAACAUCAGUAAAUGAUUUUUCUAGACACUUAAGACAUGAGUUAUAUUUUAUAAACCUUUUACAAAGA